rnacentral:lncRNA from 1 species
CGAAAAUCUAACCAUUCCAAACGAAAGAGCAUACAUUUUUCUAUAUAAUGGCAUAUUCUUUAGAGAUCUUUUUUAAAUAGUUAAAAUUUUAUGAAGAAUAUAGACAAAAUUUUAGUAUCGUUCGAUAGCGAAUUUUCACGGUUUUUUCAAUAUUAAAUUGAAAAAAAGUGAUACUUCUAAGCCGAUUUUCGAACAUCUGAUUAUUCCAAACGAAAGAGCAUACUUUUUUCUAUAUAAUGGCAUAUUCUUUAGAGGUCAUUUCAAAAUAGUUAAUAUUUUAUGAGGAAUAUAGACAAAAUUUGAGUAUCGUUCGAUAGCGAAUUUUCACGGUUUUUUCAAUUAUUAAUUGAAAAAAAGUGGUAUUUCUAAGCCGAUUUUCGAACAUCUGAUUAUUCCAAACGAAAGAGCAUACUUUUUUCUAUAUAAUGGCAUAUUCUUUAGAGAUCUUUGCUAAAUAGUUAAAAUUUUAUGAAGAAUAUAGACAAAAUUUUAGUAUCGUUCGAUAGCGAAUUUUUACGGUUUUUU